CCCACUUCGGUGGGUUUUGCUCGACCGAAGGAGAAGUGGAGGCUGUGAGGGGUGGGCUAUUUGGGAUCGGUGGUGAUAGGUAGCCUUCCUGUUAUUUAUUUAUUUAUUUUUUUUGAUUUGGUAUCCGUAAACAUGUUGAUGAAAUAGACAGGAAAUUCGAUCAAGGGUGUUUUAUUUGCUUUUUUUUUUUUUUUUUUUUUGUUGUGGUUGUGUGUGUGUGGGUAUUUGGGUUUUGGUGUUUGACAGGGGAAAAUGAAGAACGAAUGUUGGAUGUUGCGGCUUGCCAACGGUAUAAAAGAAGAACAAAAAGGAUUCAUGUAUCCAAACAAUCUUUCUGAUUCUUGUGAAGACCUGAUAUAUCCACCCAAAGGAUCUAAAUCUGCAGCUUUGAAGUGUGAAGAUUUGAAAUUAGUAAAGUUGAAUAGGGUGUAAUUUUUAGUUAAGUUUAUAUAAUUUUUUAAAUUUUAGUUUAAUGAAAAAUAGUUGGGUA